GGGUGACUGCGUACCUUUUGUAUAAUGGGUCAGCGACUUAUAUUCUGUAGCAAGGUUAACCGAAUAGGGGAGCCGGAGGGAAACCGAGUCUUAAUUGGGCGUUAAGUUGCAGGGUAUAGACCCGAAACCCGGUGAUCUAGCCAUGGGCAGGUUGAAGGUUGGGUAACACUAACUGGAGGACCGAACCGACUAAUGUUGAAAAAUUAGCGGAUGACCUGUGGCUGGGGGUGAAAGGCCAAUCAAACCGGGAGAUAGCUGGUUCUCCCCGAAAGCUAUUUAGGUAGCGCCUCGUGAAUUCAUCUCCGGGGGUAGAGCACUGUUUCGGCUAGGGGGCCAUCCCGGCUUACCAACCCGAUGCAAACUGCGAAUACCGGAGAAUGUUAUCACGGGAGACACACGGCGGGUGCUAACGUCCGUCGUGAAGAGGGAAACAACCCAGACCGCCAGCUAAGGUCCCAAAGUCAUGGUUAAGUGGGAAACGAUGUGGGAAGGCCCAGACAGCCAGGAUGUUGGCUUAGAAGCAGCCAUCAUUUAAAGAAAGCGUAAUAGCUCACUGGUCGAGUCGGCCUGCGCGGAAGAUGUAACGGGGCUAAACCAUGCACCGAAGCUGCGGCAGCGACACUCAGGUGUUGUUGGGUAGGGGAGCGUUCUGUAAGCCUGUGAAGGUGGCCUGUGAGGGUUGCUGGAGGUAUCAGAAGUGCGAAUGCUGACAUAAGUAACGAUAAAGCGGGUGAAAAGCCCGCUCGCCGGAAGACCAAGGGUUCCUGUCCAACGUUAAUCGGGGCAGGGUGAGUCGACCCCUAAGGCGAGGCCGAAAGGCGUAGUCGAUGGGAAACGGGUUAAUAUUCCCGUACUUGGUGUUACUGCGAAGGGGGGACGGAGAAGGCUAUGUUGGCCGGGCGACGGUUGUCCCGGUUUAAGCGUGUAGGUGUGUGUUCCAGGUAAAUCCGGUUCACUUUAACACUGAGGCGUGACGACGAGGCACUACGGUGCUGAAGCAACAAAUGCCCUGCUUCCAGGAAAAGCCUCUAAGCAUCAGGUAACAUCAAAUCGUACCCCAAACCGACACAGGUGGUCAGGUAGAGAAUACCAAGGCGCUUGAGAGAACUCGGGUGAAGGAACUAGGCAAAAUGGUGCCGUAACUUCGGGAGAAGGCACGCUGACACGUAGGUGAAGUGAUUUACUCAUGGAGCUGAAGUCAGUCGAAGAUACCAGCUGGCUGCAACUGUUUAUUAAAAACACAGCACUGUGCAAACACGAAAGUGGACGUAUACGGUGUGACGCCUGCCCGGUGCCGGAAGGUUAAUUGAUGGGGUCAGCGCAAGCGAAGCUCCUGAUCGAAGCCCCGGUAAACGGCGGCCGUAACUAUAACGGUCCUAAGGUAGCGAAAUUCCUUGUCGGGUAAGUUCCGACCUGCACGAAUGGCGUAAUGAUGGCCAGGCUGUCUCCACCCGAGACUCAGUGAAAUUGAACUCGCUGUGAAGAUGCAGUGUACCCGCGGCAAGACGGAAAGACCCCGUGAACCUUUACUAUAGCUUGACACUGAACAUUGAGCCUUGAUGUGUAGGAUAGGUGGGAGGCUUUGAAGUGUGGACGCCAGUCUGCAUGGAGCCGACCUUGAAAUACCACCCUUUAAUGUUUGAUGUUCUAACGUGGACCCGUGAUCCGGGUUGCGGACAGUGUCUGGUGGGUAGUUUGACUGGGGCGGUCUCCUCCUAAAGAGUAACGGAGGAGCACGAAGGUUGGCUAAUCCUGGUCGGACAUCAGGAGGUUAGUGCAAUGGCAUAAGCCAGCUUGACUGCGAGCGUGACGGCGCGAGCAGGUGCGAAAGCAGGUCAUAGUGAUCCGGUGGUUCUGAAUGGAAGGGCCAUCGCUCAACGGAUAAAAGGUACUCCGGGGAUAACAGGCUGAUACCGCCCAAGAGUUCAUAUCGACGGCGGUGUUUGGCACCUCGAUGUCGGCUCAUCACAUCCUGGGGCUGAAGUAGGUCCCAAGGGUAUGGCUGUUCGCCAUUUAAAGUGGUACGCGAGCUGGGUUUAGAACGUCGUGAGACAGUUCGGUCCCUAUCUGCCGUGGGCGCUGGAGAACUGAGGGGGGCUGCUCCUAGUACGAGAGGACCGGAGUGGACGCAUCACUGGUGUUCGGGUUGUCAUGCCAAUGGCACUGCCCGGUAGCUAAAUGCGGAAGAGAUAAGUGCUGAAAGCAUCUAAGCACGAAACUUGCCCCGAGAUGAGUUCUCCCUGAGACUUUAGGUCUCCUGAAGGAACGUUGAAGACGACGACGUUGAUAGGCCGGGUGUGUAAGCGCAGCGAUGCGUUGAGCUAACCGGUACUAAUGAACCGUGAGGCUUAACCUU
rnacentral:rRNA from 1 species